UACGUAGGUGGCAAGCGUUGUCCGGAUUUAUUGGGCGUAAAGCGCGCGCAGGCGGUCCUUUAAGUCUGAUGUGAAAUCUUGCGGCUCAACCGCAAGCGGUCAUUGGAAACUGGGGGACUUGAGUACAGAAGAGGCGAGUGGAAUUCCUGGUGUAGCGGUGAAAUGCGCAGAUAUCAGGAGGAACACCAAUGGCGAAGGCAGCUCGCUGGGACGUGACUGACGCUGAGGCACGAAGGUCAGGGGAGCAAACGGG
rnacentral:rRNA from 1 species